rnacentral:rRNA from 1 species
GAUGAACGCUGGCGGCGUGCCUAAUACAUGCAAGUCGAGCGAACAGACGAGGAGUUUGCUCCUCUGACGUUAGCGGCGGACGGGUGAGUAACACGUGGAUAACCUACCUAUAAGACUGGGAUAACUUCGGGAAACCGGAGCUAAUACCGGAUAAUAUAUUGAACCGCAUGGUUCAAUAGUGAAAGACGGUUUUGCUGUCACUUAUAGUUGGAUCCGCGCCGCAUUAGCUAGUUGGUAAGGUAACGGCUUACCAAGGCAACGAUGCGUAGCCGACCUGAGAGGGUGAUCGGCCACACUGGAACUGAGACACGGUCCAGACUCCUACGGGAGGCAGCAGUAGGGAAUCUUCCGCAAUGGGCGAAAGCCUGACGGAGCAACGCCGCGUGAGUGAUGAAGGUCUUCGGAUCGUAAAACUCUGUUAUUAGGGAAGAACAAAUGUGUAAGUAACUAUGCACGUCUUGACGGUACCUAAUCAGAAAGCCACGGCUAACUACGUG